UGGGGUGUAACUCAGUUGGUAGAGUAACUGGCUGUUAACCAGUAAGUCGUAGGUUCAAGUCCUACCACCCCAGCCA
rnacentral:tRNA from 1 species